AACUUUCAACAACGGAUCUCUUGGUUCUGGCAUCGAUGAAGAACGCAGCGAAAUGCGAUAAAGUAAUGUGAAUUGCAGAAUUCAGUGAAUCAUCGAAUCUUUGAACGCACAUUGCGCCCCUCGGUAUUCCGGGGGGCAUGCCUGUUCGAGCGUCAUUACAC
rnacentral:rRNA from 1 species